AGCAGCCGCGGUAAUUCCAGCUCCAAUAGCGUAUAUUAAAGUUGUUGCAGUUAAAAAGCUCGUAGUUGAAUUUUGGGGUCAGUAGGUCGGUCGUGCCAAUGGUAUGCACUGGCCCUGCUGAUUCCUCCCUCUUGAUGAGCCGUAAUGCCAUUAAUUUGGUGUUGCGGGGAAUCAGGACUGUUACUUUGAAAAAAUUAGAGUGUUUAAAGCAGGCAAGCGCUUGAAUACAUUAGCAUGGAAUAAUGAAAUAGGACGUUUGAUCCUAUUUUGUUGGUUUCUAGGAUUGACGUAAUGAUUAAUAGGGAUAGUUGGGGGCAUUAGUAUUCAAUUGUCAGAGGUGAAAUUCUUGGAUUUAUUGAAGACUAACUACUGCGAAAACAUUUGCCAAGGAUGUUUUCAUUAAUCAAGAACGAAAGUUAGGGGAUCGAAGACGAUCAGAUACCGUCGUAGUCUUAACCAUAAACUAUGCCGACUAGGGAUCGGAUGAUGUUAAUUUUUAAUGUACUCAUUCGGCG
rnacentral:rRNA from 1 species